rnacentral:rRNA from 1 species
CCCUUAGAUGUUCUGGGCCGCACGCGCGCUACACUGAUGCAUUCAACAAGCCUAGCCUUGACCGAGAGGUCCGGGUAAUCUUUGAAACUGCAUCGUGAUGGGGCUAGAUUAUUGCAAUUAUUAAUCUUCAACGAGGAAUGCCUAGUAAGCGUGAUUCAUCAAAUCGCGUUGAUUACGUCCCUGCCCUUUGUACACACCGCCCGUCGCUCCUACCGAUUGAAUGUGUUGGUGAGGAGCUUGGAUUGGCAGCAGUUGGUGGUUCGCCACCGGCUAUUGCUGAGAAGUCCUCCAAACCGCCCCAUUUAGAGGAAGGAGAAGUCGUAACA